UUAUCACUUGUAGCCGAUCCCUUCGGAAGUCAUCUGCUCCAAGUGAAUUAUGAAGACGCCAGUUUUGGGAUAUGCAUUCUCAAGUUUCAUGACGAACUGCUUUGGUGUUCCAGCAGUUUUUUUGUGCCUCAGUGUGUAAAGAGACAUUGUGAAGAAAAGUAAGCAGACGAACAGUGCAUUUUCAUCGCAAGUUUGACGGUGCUUAUUUCAAAAGGUGAUUUAAAAAAAAUGAUAAUGUCAAAAUAAGGAUGCCCGGUUACUAGAACUGCUCACAUUCAUUUACUUGGAUGCACAUACAUUGCUUUGCCUUUUUUUACAGAAAAGACGUGUUUACCUGCACUGGUGUCACCUCCAAUUGAAGAACAGCAGCUAGGCUGGAUGGGUCGGUGACAUAGAGGCUCUCCUGUACUUGACUGUUGUCUCCAGUAUCCAUUGCAGCCUGGUAGCAAGAGCACAUGCCAGCCA